GAUUAUGGCUCAGGACGAACGCUGGCGGCGUGCCUAAUACAUGCAAGUCGAGCGAGCUUGCCUAGAUGAUUUUAGUGCUUGCACUAAAUGAAACUAGAUACAAGCGAGCGGCGGACGGGUGAGUAACACGUGGGUAACCUGCCCAAGAGACAGGGAUAACACCUGGAAACAGAUGCUAAUACCGGAUAGCAACACUAGACGCAUGUCUAGAGUUUGAAAGAUGGUUCUGCUAUCACUCUUGGAUGGACCUGCGGUGCAUUAGCUAGUUGGUAAGGUAACGGCUUACCAAGGCAAUGAUGCAUAGCCGAGUUGAGAGACUGAUCGGCCACAUUGGGACUGAGACACGGCCCAAACUCCUACGGGAGGCAGCAGUAGGGAAUCUUCCACAAUGGACGAAAGUCUGAUGGAGCAACGCCGCGUGAGUGAAGAAGGGUUUCGGCUCGUAAAGCUCUGUUGGUAGUGAAGAAAGAUAGAGGUAGUAACUGGCCUUUAUUUGACGGUAAUUACUUAGAAAGUCACGGCUAACUACGUGCCAGCAGCCGCGGUAAUACGUAGGUGGCAAGCGUUGUCCGGAUUUAUUGGGCGUAAAGCGAGUGCAGGCGGUUCAAUAAGUCUGAUGAGAAAGCCUUCGGCUCAACCGGAGAAUUGCAUCAGAAACUGUUGAACUUGGGUGCAGAAGAGGAGAGUGGAACUCCAUGUGUAGCGGUGGAAUGCGUAGAUAUAUGGAAGAACACCAGUGGCGAAGGCGGCUCUCUGGUCUGCAACUGACGCUGAGGCUCGAAAGCAUGGGUAGCGAACAGGAUUAGAUACCCUGGUAGUCCAUGCCGUAAACGAUGAGUGCUAAGUGUUGGGAGGUUUCCGCCUCUCAGUGCUGCAGCUAACGCAUUAAGCACUCCGCCUGGGGAGUACGACCGCAAGGUUGCAACUCAAAGGAAUUGACGGA
rnacentral:rRNA from 1 species